CCUACGGGUGGCAGCAGUCGAGAAUCAUUCACAAUGGGGGAAACCCUGAUGGUGCGACGCCGCGUGGGGGAAUGAAGGUCUUCGGAUUGUAAGCCCCUGUCAUGUGGGAGCAAAUUAAAAAGAUAGUACCACAAGAGGAAGAGACGGCUAAAUCUGUGCCAGCAGCCGCGGUAAUACAGAGGUCUCAAGCGUUGUUCGUAAUCACUGGGCGUAAAGCGUGCGUAGGCGGUUUCGUAAGUCGUGUGUGAAAGGCGCGGGCUCAACCCGCGGACGGCACAUGAUACUGCGAGACUAGAGUAAGGGAGGGGGAACAGGAAGUCUCGGUGUAGCAGUGAAAUGCGUAGAUAUCGAGAGGAACACUAGUGGCGAAGGCGGGUUCCUGGACAUUAACUGACGCUGAGGCACGAAGGCCAGGGGAGCGAAAGGGAUUAGAUACCCCUGUAGUC
rnacentral:rRNA from 1 species